GACGAACGCUGGCGGCGUGCCUAAUACAUGCAAGUAGAACGCACAGUUUAUACCGUAGCUUGCUACACCAUAGACUGUGAGUUGCGAACGGGUGAGUAACGCGUAGGUAACCUGCCUGGUAGCGGGGGAUAACUAUUGGAAACGAUAGCUAAUACCGCAUAAUAUUGAUUAUUGCAUGAUAAUUAAUUGAAAGGUGCAAUUGCACCACUACCAGAUGGACCUGCGUUGUAUUAGCUAGUAGGUGAGGUAACGGCUCACCUAGGCGACGAUACAUAGCCGACCUGAGAGGGUGAGCGGCCACACUGGGACUGAGACACGGCCCAGACUCCUACGGGAGGCAGCAGUAGGGAAUCUUCGGCAAUGGACGAAAGUCUGACCGAGCAACGCCGCGUGAGUGAAGAAGGUUUUCGGAUCGUAAAGCUCUGUUGUAAGAGAAGAACGGGUGUGAGAGUGGAAAGUUCACACUGUGACGGUAGCUUACCAGAAAGGGACGGCUAACUACGUG
rnacentral:rRNA from 1 species